UGGGGAAUAUUGCACAAUGGGCGAAAGCCUGAUGCAGCAACGCCGCGUGAGUGAUGACAGUCUUCGGAUUGUAAAGCUCUGUCUUCAGGGACGAUAAUGACGGUACCUGAAGAGGAAGCCACGGCUAACUACGUGCCAGCAGCCGCGGUAAUACGUAGGUGGCAAGCGUUGUCCGGAUUUACUGGGCGUAAAGGGAGCGUAGGCGGAUAUUUAAGUGGGAUGUGAAAUCCUCGGGCUCAACCCGAGUGCUGCAUUCCAAACUGGAUAUCUAGAGUGCAGGAGAGGAAAGGAGAAUUCCUAGUGUAGCGGUGAAAUGCGUAGAGAUUAGGAAGAAUACCAGUGGCGAAGGCGCCUUUCUGGACUGUAACUGACGCUGAGGCUCGAAAGCGUGGGGAGCAAACAGG
rnacentral:rRNA from 1 species